UAUUCUGGCUCAGGAUGAACGCUAGCUACAGGCUUAACACAUGCAAGUCGAAGGGGAAACGACAUCGAAAGCUUGCUUUUGAUGGGCGUUCGACCGGCGCACGGGUGAGUAACGCGUAUCCAACCUGCCCACCACGUUGGGAUACCUUGCGAAAGUAAGACUAAUACCCAAUGACGUCUCUAGAAGAUAUCUGAAAGAGAUUUAAAGAUUUUAUCGGUGAUGGAUGGGGAUGCGUCUGAUUAGCUUGUUGGCGGGGUAACGGCCCACCAAGGCGACGAUCAGUAGGGGUUCUGAGAGGAAGGUCCCCCACAUUGGAACUGAGACACGGUCCAAACUCCUACGGGAGGCAGCAGUGAGGAAUAUUGGUCAAUGGGCGAGAGCCUGAACCAGCCAAGUAGCGUGCAGGAUGACGGCCCUAUGGGUUGUAAACUGCUUUUAUAAGGGAAUAAAGUGAGCCUCGUGAGGCUUUUUGCAUGUACCUUAUGAAUAAGGACCGGCUAAUUCCGUG
rnacentral:rRNA from 1 species